GAAAAUUCCAAAAAUUGGUCCCAACUCGGUAGGCACUUUAUUUUGUUCACUCAGAGCGUGUCCUUUCCCGUUCCCGCCCAGUUCCAUUUCGCUCUAACUCCACCAUGGGAAAUUCGUCCAAGGACGAUUCCGCCACCUCUGCCGACGCUUCCGCUGGCGACGUUCAGCCGUCCAAUUCCGGCGUCUACUCAGAGGGCGAGAAAGUGCUCGCCUAUCAUGGUCCUCGCAUCUACGAAGCCAAGGUGCAAAAAACUGAGAUCAGAAAGAGUGAAUGGAAAUACUUUGUUCACUACCUUGUA
rnacentral:sRNA from 1 species